UACGGAGGGUGCAAGCAUUAAUCGGAUUUAUUGGGCGUAAAGGGCGCGUAGGCGGACUUGUAAGUCAGAUGUGAAAUACCAAAGCUCAACUUUGGUGCUGCAUUUGAAACUGCAAGACUUGAGGGUCGGCGGAGAAAAUGGAAUUCCACGUGUAGCGGUGAAAUGCGUAGAUAUGUGGAAGAACACCUGUGGCGAAAGCGAUUUUCUAGCUGAUACCUGACGCUGAGGCGCGAGAGCAAGGGGAGCAAACAGG
rnacentral:rRNA from 1 species